rnacentral:rRNA from 1 species
UACAGAGGUCUCAAGCGUUGUUCGGAUUCAUUGGGCGUAAAGGGUGCGUAGGCGGCGCGGUAAGUCGGGUGUGAAAUCUCGGAGCUUAACUCCGAAACUGCAAUUCGAUACUGCCGUGCUUGAGGACUGGAGAGGAGACUGGAAUUUACGGUGUAGCGGUGAAAUGCGUAGAUAUCUGGAGGAACACCGGUGGCGAAGGCGGCAUCCUGGACCAACACUGACGCUGAGGAGCGAAAGCCAGGGGAGCAAACGGG